AGCUUUGCGCAGUGGCGAUAUCGUAACCAAUGAGGUUUUUCCGAGGUGCGAUUAUUGCUAGUUGAAAACUUUAACCAUAUUAUUUAUAUCUUCAACGUGUUCUCAAUUUAAAACUGAAAAUAUUUUCUUAACCUUUUGAAAU